rnacentral:rRNA from 1 species
UACGGAGGGUGCGAGCGUUGUCCGGAAUCACUGGGCGUAAAGGGCGCGUAGGUGGCGCGGUCAGUCACCGGUGAAAGCUCGGGGCUCAACCCCGAGUCGGCCGUCGAUACUCCCGUGCUUGAGCACUGUAGAGGCAGGUGGAAUUCCGGGUGUAGCGGUGGAAUGCGUAGAGAUCCGGAAGAACACCGGUGGCGAAGGCGGCCUGCUGGGCAGUAGCUGACACUGAGGCGCGACAGCGUGGGGAGCAAACAGG